UACAUUUGCCAUAUCACCCUGCAGCUCUCAGCUGGCAGCCCCACUGAAGCUCAGCAGGGUUGAGCCUGACCAGUACCUGGAUGGGAGACCUACUGGGAAGCUACAAUUGCUGCUGGAA
rnacentral:rRNA from 1 species